GGAGGGUUAGGCUAACUGGUAAGUCAGCGGUCUUGAAAACCGCCGGGUUAACACCCUUGGGGGUUCGAGUCCCUCACCCUCCGCCA
rnacentral:tRNA from 1 species